rnacentral:rRNA from 1 species
GACGGAGGGUGCUAGCGUUGUUCGGAUUUACUGGGCGUAAAGCGCGUGUAGGCAGCUCGGCAAGUCGGGUGUGAAAGCCCUGGGCUCAACCUAGGAAGUGCACUCGAAACUUCCGAGCUGGAGUACUGGAGAGGAAGGCGGAAUUCUCGGUGUAGAGGUGAAAUUCGUAGAUAUCGAGAGGAACACCGGUGGCGAAGGCGGCCUUCUGGACAGUCACUGACGCUGAGACGCGAAAGCGUGGGGAGCAAACAGG